UAAAAAAGAAAAUUUUUAAAU
rnacentral:piRNA from 1 species